UACGUAGGGGGCGAGCGUUAUCCGGAUUCAUUGGGCGUAAAGCGCGCGUAGGCGGCCUGUUAGGUCGGGAGUCAAAUCCGGGGGCUCAACCCCCGCCCGCUCCCGAUACCGGCGGGCUUGAGUCUGGUAGGGGAAGGUGGAACUCCAAGUGUAGCGGUGGAAUGCGCAGAUAUUUGGAAGAACACCGGUGGCGAAGGCGGCCUUCUGGGCCACGACUGACGCUGAGGCGCGAAAGCUAGGGGAGCGAACAGG
rnacentral:rRNA from 1 species